rnacentral:lncRNA from 1 species
AGCUGAAACGGCUGAUUUGUUGUGAGAGGAAAACACUGUUUGUUGGCUGAUAAGCCGGCUGAAUAAGCUGAAGCGAACAGGCUAGUUAUCUCUUCUGAUGAGCAGCUGAUCGAGAGCGACGUGCCUGCGCGAGGUGAGCUGCACCAUGACGAAGGUGGUGUGUCGUGGUAGUCGUCGUCCAAAACUCCGUUUUUCGCUGCCCUAGCGU